UGGGGAAUUUUGCACAAUGGGCGGAAGCCUGAUGCAGCGACGCCGUGUGGGGGAUGAAGGCCUUCGGGUUGUAAACUCCUUUCGUCAGGGACGAAGUUUGUUUGACGGUACCUGGAUAAGAAGCACCGGCUAACUACGUGCCAGCAGCCGCGGUAAUACGUAGGGUGCGAGCGUUGUCCGGAUUUACUGGGCGUAAAGGGCUCGUAGGUAGUGUGUUGCGUCGUCUGUGUAAUCCAGGGGCUUAACUUUUGGUUGGCAGGCGAUACGGGCAUUGCUUGAGUGCUGUAGGGGAGACUGGAAUUCCUGGUGUAGCGGUGAAAUGCGCAGAUAUCAGGAGGAACACCGAUGGCGAAGGCAGGUCUCUGGGCAGUUACUGACGCUGAGGAGCGAGAGCAUGGGUAGCGAACAGG
rnacentral:rRNA from 1 species